UACGGAAGGGGCAAGCGUUGUUCGGAAUCAUUGGGCGUAAAGGGCGCGUAGGUGGUUCUGUAUGUCUACCGUGAAAGCAUACGGCUCAACUGUAUUUUGUCGGUAGAAACUGCAGGACUUGAGGCUGGGAGGGGCUGGUGGAAUUCCCUGUGUAGCGGUGAAAUGCAUAGAGAUGGGGGAGAACACUCGUGGCGAAGGCGGCCAGCUAGACCAGUUCUGACACUGAGGCGCGACAGCGUGGGGAGCAAACAGG
rnacentral:rRNA from 1 species